rnacentral:lncRNA from 1 species
GCAAAGUUUUGCCUGUGUGUCUAGUGACGGGAGCAGUGAGAAUGAGGCUUGGAACACGGAGCGCAUUGUGGGCCUGUCGUGGGUGGGGCCAGCAGCACAUGCAUGCCAGGCUCACAGAGCAGCCUUUGGGUGUUCUUUUCCCAGAGGAGCUCUAUGGUGACUUUGAAGACUUGGAAACAGGGGACGUGCACAAGGGAAAAUCGGGCCCCGAUACUCAGAAUGAAGAUAUAGAGAAACAAGAAAGAAAUUGACCCUGAUGAAGAAGAAAGUGCCAAGAAAAAGCAUUUGGAUAAGAAGAGAAAAUUGAAGGAGAUGUUUGAUGUGGAAUAUGAUGAAGGAGAAA